rnacentral:tRNA from 1 species
GGAGAGAUGUCCGAGUCUGGCUUAAGGAGCACGAUUGGAAAUCGUGUGUGCGCCAAAAGCGUACCUGGGGUUCGAAUCCCCAUCUCUCCGCCA